rnacentral:rRNA from 1 species
CAGUAGCCGCGGUAAUACAGAGGGUGCAAGCGUUAAUCGGAAUUACUGGGCGUAAAGCGCGCGUAGGUGGUUCGCCAAGUUGGAUGUGAAAUCCCCGGGCUCAACCUGGGAACUGCAUCCAAAACUGGCGAGCUAGAGUAUGGUAGAGGGUGGUGGAAUUUCCUGUGUAGCGGUGAAAUGCGUAGAUAUAGGAAGGAACAUCAGUGGCGAAGGCGACCACCUGGACUGAUACUGACACUGAGGUGCGAAAGCGUGGGGAGCAAACAGGAUUAGAUACCCCGGUAGUCCCUGUCUCUUAUAA